GCGGGGGUUGCCGAGCCNGGAAAAGGCGCANGGCUUAAGACCNUGUCCCGAAGGGGUCCGCGGGUUCGAAUCCCGCCCCCCGCA
rnacentral:tRNA from 1 species